rnacentral:tRNA from 1 species
AUAAUUUAGUAUAGGAUGUACAGUAAUUUUUGGAAUUUCAGGGGGCAGUUUGACUCUGCUAUUUAUAAU